rnacentral:snRNA from 1 species
ACUACUUGAACUUUUGGGUUGGA